CAUUUUACACACAGCCUUCUCCAGGUGUACACAGACAUUUACACACACAGCCUUGUUCUCAGGUGUACACACACAGCCUUGUUCUCAGGUGUACACACAUUUACACAGCCUUGUUCUCAGGUGUACACACACACAUUUACACACACAGCCUUCUCAGGUGUACACAGACAUUUACACACACAGCCCUUCUCAGGUGUACACACACAUUUACACAGCCUUGUUCUCAGGUGUACACACACAUUUACACAGCCUUGUUCUCGGGUGUAAACACACAGCCUUCUCAGGUGUACACACACAUUUACACACAGCCUUGUUCUCAGGUGUACACACACAUUUACACAGCCUUGUUCUCAGGUGUACACACACAGCUUUGCUCCAGUGUAUACAUACAGCCUUGCUCCAGUGUACACAUACAGUCUUGCUCUCAGGUGUACAUAGACAUUUGCACACACAGCCUUGCUCCAGUGUACACAUACAGCCUUGCUCCAGUGUACACAUACAGCCUUGCUCCAGUGUACACAUACAGCCUUGCUCUCAGGUGUACACAGACAUUUAAACACACAGCCUUGCUCCAGUGUACACACACAGGCUUGCUCUCAGGUAUACACAGACAUUUACACACACAGCCUUGCUCCAGUGUACACAUACAGCCUUGCUCUCAGGUGUACAUAGACAUUUAAACACACAGUUUGCUCCAGUGUACACACACAGCCUUGCUCCAGUGUACACAUACAGCCUUGCUCUCAGGUGUACAUAGACAUAUACACACACAGCCUUGCCCCAGUGUACACAUACGGGCCUUGCUCCAGUGUACACAUACAGCCUUGCUCUCAGGUGUACAUAGACAUAUACACACACAGCCUUGCCCCAGUGUACACAUACGGCCUUGCUCCAGUGUACACAUACAGCCUUGCUCCAGUGUAUACACAGUCUUGCUCUCAGGUGUACACAGACAUUUACACACACAGCCUUGCUCCAGUGUACACAUACAGCCUUGCUCUCAGGUAUGCACAGAUAUUUACACAUACAGCCUUACUCUCAGGUAUACACAGACAUUUACACACACAGCCUUGCUCCAAUGUACACAUACAGCCUUGUUCUCAGGUGUACACAGACAUUUACCCACACAGCCUUGCUCUCAUGUGUACACAGACAUUUACAUACACAGCCUUGUUCUCAGGUAUACUGUACACAGACAUCUACACACAGUCAUGCAGUAUACAGACAGCCUCAACUAUACAGACAUUUACACACACACCCAGACUUGCUCUCGGAUAUACACAAAUGGUGACUAAGGAUGCCAUAUAUUUUGUGGUGUAUUUAUUUUGAUAAGAAAGUGUAUCUUGUCUCUGCUUAUUCAGUAAGCCAGAUGUAUGGUAAUGGGUCUCACUGAGCUAUUGGGAAUACUGUACAAUACAGUACAUAGGAUUAACAAAAAUUAUGGAUCUAUUUAAAUAAUACUAAUAAAUUGUUUAAACGAUAAGUCUUUUGGGUGAACUCACUGAUGACAAUUGCCGAGAGCUGUUUCCUUAAAUGUCAGGCAAGACUUGAGGCGGUGGCACACUGGGCACUUUCCGCUAAACAUGUUGCCCGUUGGCCUGACGGCCCAGCAAGCAGCAGGAUCUCUGCUGUUGCGAGAAAUGGCCAACAGUUUGGCGGGGAUCUUUGCUGGCCUGAUUAGUGCUCAAAUGAGCUUCAAGAUGGAUGUACUGUGGGUUUAAUACUAUAAGGGUUAAUAUAAUGUGUACUGUAAUUUAUUCACUAUAAUUUGUGCAGUGUUUUGUUCUUUGUGUUUUACGAUUGAAAUUAAGACAAUGAACCUUAUGAAAGCAAGAUAAUGAAGUAUAAUGAUCAAAUAUUA